UGGUUCUGGCAUNGAUGAAGAACGCAGCGAAAUGCGAUAAGUAGUGUGAAUUGCAGAAUUCAGUGAAUCAUCGAAUCUUUGAACGCACAUUGCGCCCUUUGGUAUUCCUUAGGGCAUGCCUGUUCGAGCGUCAUUUCAAACUUCAAGCCCCUCUCAUGGCUUGGUGUUGGGCGUCUGUCCCCCGGGACUCGCCUCAAAUGCAUUGGCAGCCGGUACGUUGGCUUCGAGCGCAGCAGAAACGCGCGCGGCGUCCGACGGUGCCUGGCUCUCCAGGAAGCCUCCACCCCAAGUUUGACCUCGGAUCAGGUAGGGAUACCCGCUGA
rnacentral:misc_RNA from 1 species